rnacentral:ncRNA from 1 species
AGCCAUUUAACCUAUUCAAAGCCAAAACAACCAUAUUAAGUGUGGAACCAAUGUACCCUCAUUGGCACCACAUUUUAUAUGAGCUAACUCCAAAAACCCAUCCUCAGUUCGGAUUGCAGGCUGCAACUCGUCUGCAUGAAGCCGGAAUCGCUAGUAAUCGCCGGUCAGCCAUACGGCGGGGAAUUC